rnacentral:rRNA from 1 species
CCUUGGAACAGGACGUCACAGAGGGUGAGAAUCCCGUACGUGGUCGCUAGCCUUUACCGUGUAAAGCCCCUUCGACGAGUCGAGUUGUUUGGGAAUGCAGCUCUAAAUGGGAGGUAAAUUUCUUCUAAAGCUAAAUACUGGCCAGAGACCGAUAGCGCACAAGUAGAGUGAUCGAAAGAUGAAAAGCACUUUGGAAAGAGAGUUAAAAAGCACGUGAAAUUGUUGAAAGGGAAGCGCUUGCAGCCAGACUUGCCUGUAGUUGCUCAUCCGGGUUUCUACCCGGUGCACUCUUCUAUAGGCAGGCCAGCAUCAGUUUGGGCGGUUGGAUAAAGGUCUCUGUCAUGUACCUCUCUUCGGGGAGAACUUAUAGGGGAGACGACAUGCAACCAGCCUGGACUGAGGUCCGCGCAUCUGCUAGGAUGCUGGCGUAAUGGCUGUAAGCGGCCCGUCUUGAAACACGGACCAAGGAGUCUAACAUCUAUGCGAGUGUUUGGGUGUCAAGCCCGAGCGCGUAAUGAAAGUGAACGGAGGUGGGAACCUUUCGGGGUGCACCAUCGACCGAUCCUGAUGUCUUCGGAUGGAUUUGAGUAAGAGCAUAGCUGUUGGGACCCGAAAGAUGGUGAACUAUGCUUGAAUAGGGUGAAGCCAGAGGAAACUCUGGUGGAGGCUCGCAGCGGUUCUGACGUGCAAAUCGAUCGUCAAAUUUGGGCAUAGGGGCGAAAGACUAAUCGAACUAUCUAGUAGCUGGUUCCUGCC